rnacentral:antisense_RNA from 1 species
UGCUAUGGCAGCUGUGCGUGAGGGCGCAUUCGUGCGCGCCGGGGUACCUAUGACUCGGUCUGUCAACCCACGUACAGUUGCCACCCUU